AGACGGUAUUUGAGGAGGAAGCCCCGGCUAACUACGUGCCAGCAGCCGCGGUAAUACGUAGGGGGCAAGCGUUGUCCGGAAUGAUUGGGCGUAAAGGGCGCGUAGGCGGCCUGUUAAGUCUGGAGUGAAAGUCCUGCUUUUAAGGUGGGAAUUGCUUUGGAUACUGAUGGGCUUGAGUGCAGGAGAGGUAAGUGGAAUUCCCAGUGUAGCGGUGAAAUGCGUAGAGAUUGGGAGGAACACCAGUGGCGAAGGCGACUUACUGGACUGUAACUGACGCUGAGGCUCGAAAGCGUGGGGAGCAAAUAGGAUUAGAUACCCUG
rnacentral:rRNA from 1 species